rnacentral:rRNA from 1 species
ACGAGUUAUCUGACCUUCGGGGAACGAUAACGGCGUCGAGCGGCGGACGGGUGAGUAAUGCCUAGGAAAUUGCCCUGGUGUGGGGGAUAACCAUUGGAAACGAUGGCUAAUACCGCAUAAUACCUUCGGGUCAAAGAGGGGGACCUUCGGGCCUCUCGCGUCAGGAUAUGCCUAGGUGGGAUUAGCUAGUUGGUGAGGUAAUGGCUCACCAAGGCGACGAUCCCUAGCUGGUCUGAGAGGAUGAUCAGCCACACUGGAACUGAGACACGGUCCAGACUCCUACGGGAGGCAGCAGUGGGGAAUAUUGCACAAUGGGCGCAAGCCUGAUGCAGCCAUGCCGCGUGUGUGAAGAAGGCCUUCGGGUUGUAAAGCACUUUCAGUCGUGAGGAAGGUAGUGUAGUUAAUAGCUGCAUUAUUUGACGUUAGCGACAGAAGAAGCACCGGCUAACUCCGUGCCAGCAGCCGCGGUAAUACGGAGGGUGCGAGCGUUAAUCGGAAUUACUGGGCGUAAAGCGCAUGCAGGUGGUUUGUUAAGUCAGAUGUGAAAGCCCGGGGCUCAACCUCGGAAUAGCAUUUGAAACUGGCAGACUAGAGUACUGUAGAGGGGGGUAGAAUUUCAGGUGUAGCGGUGAAAUGCGUAGAGAUCUGAAGGAAUACCGGUGGCGAAGGCGGCCCCCUGGACAGAUACUGACACUCAGAUGCGAAAGCGUGGGGAGCAAACAGGAUUAGAUACCCUGGUAGUCCACGCCGUAAACGAUGUCUACUUGGAGGUUGUGGCCUUGAGCCGUGGCUUUCGGAGCUAACGCGUUAAGUAGACCGCCUGGGGAGUACGGUCGCAAGAUUAAAACUCAAAUGAAUUGACGGGGGCCCGCACAAGCGGUGGAGCAUGUGGUUUAAUUCGAUGCAACGCGAAGAACCUUACCUACUCUUGACAUCCAGAGAACUUUCCAGAGAUGGAUUGGUGCCUUCGGGAACUCUGAGACAGGUGCUGCAUGGCUGUCGUCAGCUCGUGUUGUGAAAUGUUGGGUUAAGUCCCGCAACGAGCGCAACCCUUAUCCUUGUUUGCCAGCACUUCGGGUGGGAACUCCAGGGAGACUGCCGGUGAUAAACCGGAGGAAGGUGGGGACGACGUCAAGUCAUCAUGGCCCUUACGAGUAGGGCUACACACGUGCUACAAUGGCGCAUACAGAGGGCAGCCAACUUGCGAGAGUGAGCGAAUCCCAAAAAGUGCGUCGUAGUCCGAUCC